rnacentral:tRNA from 1 species
AAGGACGAUAAAAGUACUGCUAAUACCCAAACCCGACACUAAUUUCAGCCGGCG